GAGAAAGCAGCUUGCCGGAGAACACGUGAAUGGCUCCAUGUGGUCUGCAAGUCAGUGGCUGCUGCUUCUGUCCCCUGCUGCUGCUUGCCUGGGAGAGAAAAACUUCCAGAGCAUUAAACAAAGGGAUGUACUGGUAUUUUCUAGUUUCUGGAAUUUUGUGUUGGUAAACAGCCAAUAAUUAUCUCUCCUAUUGCAUCUUCAAACAUUUCACAAGGUACAAGUCUGGAACUGAGGCAGGACCGCAUGGCUGACCCUUAAGUACCCCCAGGGCGUGGCUAAGGGGCGUGCUGCGCAUGCAUGAGGUUCAUUUCUCCCCAGUCGUCGUGGAGUGAGGAGCUCGUCCAUGCUGCUCCCGGGUGAAGGCCCCAAUCUUCCGGAUGGGCCUUCAGUUCCUCUCCGGUCGGCCUUGUCUGCUCGGGAUCGUCGUGGAUCGUCGCCUGGAGUCUCGGGAAGCGGUGAGGAUCGCCGGUAGACGCUGGGAGUCCCGCUGGGGCCGCGAAUGGUCCCGGAUGGCCCGGUCUCGUGCGGAUGCCGCCUGUGGGUGUCGGGCCGAGCCCCCUGCCCGCCGAUGGACGUCCCCUGCCUGCGGAUGGCCUCGCGGUCCAUGGAUCUGGUCCCGGUCGUCAGUCCGGUACAAGUCUGGAACUGAGGCAGGACCGCAUGGCUGACCCUUAAGUACCCCCAGGGCGUGGCUAAGGUAAGGAGGGGUUAUUGGGUUAGGGUGGACCUUGGGGGCUGGCUUGUCCAGCCCCCCUGCUUCUAGCUCUGGGUCAGAGGCAAGGCAUUUAUUCAUGACAGUUAACUCUAAUAAUCCAUGGUUUGCUACAUUUCCUACAGUUUAAAGUAUUGUGAAUAACUUUUUUCCAUCUUGUGUUUCCUUAUGCUUAUAUGCAAAAGUUAGCCAUCCCUGGUUGUAUUGUGUGUUUCAGGGAAUCUCUAAAGCAGGGGUAUCAAACUCAUGUCAUGGCGGCAUCACAUGAUGUAUCAGGACUUUUUUCCCCUUCGCUAAACUGGGCGUGGGCAUGGCCAGCACGUGAUGCAUCCUGCCCAUGGGCUGGGAAGUUGACAACCCUGCUCUAAAGAAACAGAGACUGAUAAAGUUUAAAUGGACAAAAUUAAAUACAACACAUUUUCACAAAUGUGAUUUUUCAGUAAUAUUCACAUUUGGAAACUAUUCCCAAAACUUUAUCUUUCUUCAUGGCUGAUCUGAAGGUAUGUUUUAGAUGGUUGUGGAAAUAUUUAGCAUCAUUUUUUUCAGAUUAUGGACUUAAACUUCUAGGAUAUGUUUAUAUUUAGCUGAAUCCAUUCUUCUUUCUACCCUCCAAUAUUUCUUAUACUACGCAUGACUACAAAAUCCCAAAACAUAAUACUGUAAAGGCAUCUUUGUAAUUAACAGCACUUUCCUGAAGGUCAUUAGGGUUGGGGCCAACUGUAUUCCCACUGAAACAAACAAAACGUUAAAAUGUUAUGAUAUUUAUGUCGUUACUUACCAAGCACAUCUAAAUUAUAUUAAAGUAACCAAAAUAUCUUUACAAUUCCCAAGGCAUGUCACAACUUUUGAGAACCCCUAAUGUAAUGAUGAUGGGCAUUACAUCAAUACUGUGGGUG